GAACAGUUGUUUUGAUAUGGUUAUAACUCUCACUUUCAAUUUAUGCGGUGCAGAACUCUCUCUCUCUCUCGAUCUAUCUCUCAAUCAUGAACAAGGGAGCAAUAGUCUUUCAAGGGUUCUUUCAAUGAGUCGGUACUCUCUACAUUCCUUUUCUCUUUCCUCUUCACAACGCAAGUCAAAUUCCUUUAUCUUCUUCUUUUGGUCGAAAAAUCGAUGCAGAUCCAAAAAUCGAUUCGCAUAAGAGGAUCAAGUUAUUGAUAUGAUACUCUUAUGCGAAUCGAUUGUUUGACAUGAAUCUCCCCCUUUCAACAAAACUUCUGAUGGAGAUUUGCACACCAUGCCUAAGGUCUUGAGCCAAGCCGUCAUUCAGGCUCCGUCUCAUGCCCAUCCAACCGAUUUCUUAAGGUUGGUCUGGCCUAUUGCUCUUUCCUUGUGCCUAUUUUGCUUUACGGGGUUCAUUUACAGGUUCAGCAGAUCAAAGACAUAGACAAGCUGGGUUUUAUGGGUCUAGUUCAAGAAGAGCUUGUGUUGAUAGAAGACUGGUACAUUUUCAGAUAAGACCGGUGGGGAUUGGUGGAGGGUUGUCACUUGAGACAAGAAAACCAAUCAUACCAAUUGCGGGGUUUACUCAAAUGCAGUGCUUCUAUAAUAUGUGCUUCUGCUUUGAAUGGCAGAUGUGCUACAACACUACAAACCAAAUCUGUUAUGCACCAGGCUCCAACAAUCACAAGUCUUCCUCGAGUACGAGCAUUUUGCAGUUCGGUGAUGGAGCAAGACAGAUGAUAUAUUGUGCUUUCAGAUGAAAGAAAAGUCUGCUGUAGAGUUUUCUAGAAUAAUUUGUAUUUAAAUAUUUUUUUUAAAAUGGAAUAUUUGUAGUCACCAAAGAUUGUAUUAGUGGUAGGAAGUCUCUGUGGGACCCAUAAUGGCAGUCACCAAAAAGUUGAUAGUGGGUUCCUUGGGUACUGUCACGCCAGCAAAGGCAACUAUUAACAAUAAUGGUGGCUGGACCGUGGCUAUUGGUGUUACACACCAAUGAUUGGUCCCUAAUAACCCAACUCACACCAUUACUGAUGGUGUCUAAACUCUAAAGGCCACAUUUGUGGUAGUGUAAGUUCAGGUAGCCUAUCGUCUAUAAUUUUCCGACAUUGUUGUGCUGUUUUUUUACUAA